GAUGAACGCUGGCGGCGGGCCUAAUACAUGCAAGUCGAGCGAACAGACGAGGAGCUUGCUCCUCUGACGUUAGCGGCGGACGGGUGAGUAACACGUGGAUAACCUACCUAUAAGACUGGGAUAACUUCGGGAAACCGGAGCUAAUACCGGAUAAUAUAUUGAACCGCAUGGUGCAAUAGUGAAAGACGGUUUUGCUGUCACUUAUAGAUGGAUCCGCGCCGCAUUAGCUAGUUGGUAAGGUAACGGCUUACCAAGGCAACGAUGCGUAGCCGACCUGAGAGGGUGAUCGGCCACACUGGAACUGAGACACGGUCCAGACUCCUACGGGAGGCAGCAGUAGGGAAUCUUCCGCAAUGGGCGAAAGCCUGACGGAGCAACGCCGCGUGAGUGAUGAAGGUCUUCGGAUCGUAAAACUCUGUUAUUAGGGAAGAACAAAUGUGUAAGUAACUAUGCACGUCUUGACGGUACCUAAUCAGAAAGCCACGGCUAACUACGUG
rnacentral:rRNA from 1 species